rnacentral:lncRNA from 10 species
GACUCCCCUUGAUCCCGCCGCCUGACUCCUCGGCGUACGUUCUCUCUCCGGUCUCCCCCUCCAUGUCCCCUCCUCCCCUUUUCUUCCACAUCACCGAUCCUUUCUGGACUCUCUCCCUUCCUCCUUUCCAGCUGGGAGACAGGAAAAGCGGUCCUGUUUGGGAACAGUAAAAGCAGGGCAAGGAAAGGAAGGAGCGGCAGAAAGGAGGGGUGAGUCGAGGACACAGGGGCAGCCGGAGAAUGCGGAGGAGCCGGGUCCUGAGCGCGGUCUAAGCGAGGCUCGGCUCUCGUCCAGGAACUCGGACGCGGGCUCGCCGGCUCUCCGCGCGCGGGAAGUCGAGCCCAGGACGCCGCCUUCAGGCCGGCGCGCUGACCCGGUGCCCCGACCCGGAGCCUGCGGUCUGCCUGGAUCCGUCCUAAACCUCGCGGGCUGGACCCGCGGCCUGAGUGGGUGGGUGUGUGCCAGAGGAUUCGGGACUAGGCCCAGCUCCGGGAACCUGGAAAUGUGGCCCGCUUCUCAGUGGCUUCCUGUUCAUGCGCUUGGGCCUAGUGGCCUAGUUGAAGAAGUGGAACCACAGCGUGAGCCGACAGGGCCUUACAGAUCAGACGUCAAGCCCCCCAGACCUUACAGGGGAGGAAAGUGAGGCCUGCACUGGCCGAGCCACCCACUUAAGGCGGUGCGGUAGCCUAGAGGAGCGGCAGACUUCUCUUUCCCCAUCCCCCGCCCCAUCACUUGACGUUGCUGCCGGACCUCGGUACAAACCCAAGACAAAACGGGGCCCUUUGGAAAAAGUGAGAUUUAGCGAUCACUCUUACGUAGCCACUCUAAAUAUCUAUCUAGAUAUUUACAAAUGCACCUCCCCGGUAGGUAGAUUUCACUCAGAAUUUACCCAACACCGUGCUUUGUGCUGGGGCCACAUGCCACCUUUCUGUCUAGUAUGGCUGCUCUUUCUCCCUCUUCGCAAAUAUAGCUCUUUUUCCUUCAGGUCUCUUCUGAAGUAAGUAGCCCUUCCUCAGAAAUGCUUCCCUUUUCAGGCACCCUCAUACCACCGUGAUUUUUUUCUUUAUAGCACUUAGGACGAAGAGAUUAUUUUACUUAUGUACUUGUUUACUUGUUUGUUGUGUAGAAUGUCAGCUCUAUGGGAACCAGAUCCUUUUAUGGGUCUUCCUCUGCACCUAUGCCACGCCCCCAGCAUUCCCCUCCUACCACCACCUUCAGCCGGCCUCCGCCUCUGUAGGGGGGCAUUAGGUUUUCUGUCCCACAGAGGAAGGGCGCUUUAGAAAGGGUUAGUUCAUCCUGGAAGAAAAACGAUGUCGGAUGCCAGCAUAGUGUCAUUUAAAGAUACUGGAGGAAUGGAGUGGGAGCGGUGAGGGUUUCUUGGGCCUAGACAAUGUAACUAGUUGUUGCAAUAAAGCAUGGUGGGGAAAGGAGAAAAGGCACGUAUUAAACAUCUUUUGAAGUCGCUAUCUAUAUCAGUCAGUUCUCCAGGGAAACAGAACCCAUUGUGUGUGUGUGCGUGCCAGUACCACACAUAUGUAUAUGUAUAUACACACCGUCAUGGGGUUGCUUAACAACAGGGAUACAUUCUCAGACAUGUAUCUUUAGGCGAUUUCAUUGUUGUGCAAACAUCAUAUACAAACCUAGGUGGUAUAGUCUAUUAUACAUCUAGGCUGUAUGGUAUGGGCUAUUGCUCCUAGGCUGCAAACCUUUACAACAUGUUACUAUACUGAAUACUGUAGAUAAUUGUAACAAAAUGUAGUUUUAUAUCUAAA